UCGUAAAGGUGCAUGAGUGGUGUUUGGUUUGCUUACGUGUGGUUGGCUGCGGCGUUUGCAACAACUUCCAUGCUUUCAGACCUCUUCAGUUGUGCGGCAAGGCUUGUAUCGCCUUGAGCGUAUUGUGGGUUUUCUGUGUUGGCUACCUAAUCAAUGGUAUCGGUUGGAUUGAUCAAUGUUUCAUUUCGUCUACCGUCGCAUUCGCGGCGUGAGAUGAACCUUGAUGCGGUCUCUUUGAUCCACCUCGUCGAAGCGCAUGCUUUGGCGUUGUGGCACAUUGAGCAUUGCUUGGUCUCUUGUAUACGGAACAUAUAGUGGGCAUGGAUCUAACGAUUCUCGUUUGCCCUCAUAUUAGCGUAACGCUUCUCUUACACGACUUGCUCCACGUUUUAGCUCGUACGGACGUGGUGCUAUGUCGAAGAGGAAUGCUACCUGGUUGAUCCUGCCAGUAGUCAUAUGCUUGUCUCAAAGAUUAAGCCAUGCAUGUGUAAGU
rnacentral:misc_RNA from 1 species